AGAGUUUGAUCCUGGCUCAGGACGAACGCUGACGGCGCGCCUAACACAUGCAAGUCGAACGAGCGAGAGAGAGCUUGCUUUCUUGAGCGAGUGGCGAACGGGUGAGUAACGCGUGAGGAACCUGCCUCAAAGAGGGGGACAACAGUUGGAAACGACUGCUAAUACCGCAUAAGCCCACGGCUCGGCAUCGAGCAGAGGGAAAAGGAGCAAUCCGCUUUGAGAUGGCCUCGCGUCCGAUUAGCUAGUUGGUGAGGUAACGGCCCACCAAGGCGACGAUCGGUAGCCGGACUGAGAGGUUGAACGGCCACAUUGGGACUGAGACGCGGCCCAGACUCCUACGGGAGGCAGCAGUGGGGAAUAUUGCACAAUGGGGGAAACCCUGAUGCAGCGACGCCGCGUGGAGGAAGAAGGUCUUCGGAUUGUAAACUCCUGUUGUUGAGGAAGAUAAUGACGGUACUCAACAAGGAAGUGACGGCUAACUACGUGCCAGCAGCCGCGGUAAAACGUAGGUCACAAGCGUUGUCCGGAAUUACUGGGUGUAAAGGGAGCGCAGGCGGGAAGACAAGUUGGAAGUGAAAUCCAUGGGCUCAACCCAUGAACUGCUUUCAAAACUGUUUUUCUUGAGUAGUGCAGAGGUAGGCGGAAUUCCCGGUGUAGCGGUGGAAUGCGUAGAUAUCGGGAGGAACACCAGUGGCGAAGGCGGCCUACUGGGCACCAACUGACGCUGAGGCUCGAAAGUGUGGGUAGCAAACAGGAUUAGAUACCCUGGUAGUCCACACUGUAAACGAUGAUUACUAGGUGUUGGAGGAUUGACCCCUUCAGUGCCGCAGUUAACACAAUAAGUAAUCCACCUGGGGAGUACGACCGCAAGGUUGAAACUCAAAGGAAUUGACGGGGGCCCGCACAAGCAGUGGAGUAUGUGGUUUAAUUCGACGCAACGCGAAGAACCUUACCAAGUCUUGACAUCCCUUGACGAUGCUGGAAACAGUAUUUCUCUUCGGAGCAAGGAGACAGGUGGUGCAUGGUUGUCGUCAGCUCGUGUCGUGAGAUGUUGGGUUAAGUCCCGCAACGAGCGCAACCCUUAUGGUCAGUUACUACGCAAGAGGACUCUGGCCAGACUGCCGUUGACAAAACGGAGGAAGGUGGGGAUGACGUCAAAUCAUCAUGCCCUUUAUGACUUGGGCUACACACGUACUACAAUGGCGUUAAACAAAGAGAAGCAAGACCGCGAGGUGGAGCAAAACUCAGAAACAACGUCCC
rnacentral:rRNA from 1 species